GUCUAUGGCUAUGCUACCCUGAACAAACCCUGUCCUGUCUGAUCUUGGAAGCUAAGCAGGGCUGUGCCUAGUUACUACUUGGAUGGGAGACCACCUAUGAAGACCAGGUGCUGUAUGUA
rnacentral:rRNA from 1 species